rnacentral:rRNA from 1 species
UCCGGUUGAUCCUGCCGGACCUGACUGCUAUCGGAUUGAUACUAAGCCAUGCGAGUCAUUGUAGCAAUACAAGGCAUACGGCUCAGUAACGCGUAGUCAACCUAACCUAUGGACGGGAAUAACCUCGGGAAACUGAGAAUAAUGCCCGAUAGAACAUUAUGCCUGGAAUGGUUUAUGUUCCAAAUGAUUUAUCGCCGUAGGAUGGGACUGCGGCCUAUCAGUUUGUUGGUGAGGUAAUGGCCCACCAAGACUAUUACAGGUACGGGCUCUGAGAGGAGUAGCCCGGAGAUGGGUACUGAGACACGGACCCAGGCCCUAUGGGGCGCAGCAGGCGAGAAAACUUUGCAAUGUGCGAAAGCACGACAAGGUUAAUCCGAGUGAUUUGUGCUAAACGAAUCUUUUGUUAGUCCUAGAAACACUAACGAAUAAGGGGUGGGCAAGUUCUGGUGUCAGCCGCCGCGGUAAAACCAGCACCUCAAGUGGUCAGGAUGAUUAUUGGGCCUAAAGCAUCCGUAGCCGGCUCUGUAAGUUUUCGGUUAAAUCUGUACGCUUAACGUACAGGCUGCCGGGAAUACUGCAAAGCUAGGGAGUGGGAGAGGUAGACGGUACUCGGUAGGAAGUGGUAAAAUGCUUUGAUCUAUCGAUGACCACCUGUGGCGAAGGCGGUCUACCAGAACACGUCCGACGGUGAGGGAUGAAAGCUGGGGGAGCAAACCGGAUUAGAUACCCGGGUAGUCCCAGCUGUAAACUAUGCAAACUCAGUGAUGCAUUGGCUUGUGGCCAAUGCAGUGCUGCAGGGAAGCCGUUAAGUUUGCCGCCUGGGAAGUACGUACGCAAGUAUGAAACUUAAAGGAAUUGGCGGGGGAGCACCACAAGGGGUGAAGCCUGCGGUUCAAUUGGAUUCAACGCCGGA